UUAACGGUGUCUUUAGACACCACUUACCUUUUUUGAAAUUUAUCC
rfam:Picea glauca, whole genome shotgun sequence.